UAGCCACAAAGAGACCUUCUAAGGACAGU
rnacentral:piRNA from 1 species